rnacentral:rRNA from 1 species
ACACGUGGGUAACCUGCCUUAUAGUGGGGGAUAGCCUUUCGAAAGGAAGAUUAAUACCGCAUAAGAUUGUAGUAUCGCAUGAUAUAGCAAUUAAAGGAGCAAUCCGCUAUAAGAUGGACCCGCGUCGCAUUAGCUAGUUGGUGAGGUAAUGGCUCACCAAGGCGACGAUGCGUAGCCGACCUGAGAGGGUGAACGGCCACAUUGGGACUGAGACACGGUCCAGACUCCUACGGGAGGCAGCAUG